rnacentral:lncRNA from 11 species
UCGGUUAUGCUUAAGAUAAGGAAAACUUCUUGAUAAAGGAAGGAACUGAUGUGCAACUGCGGCUAUUGGAGAACUUGCCAAGAUGUCAAGACUCAGCACUUAAAAGGGAAACAAAACAAAGGCAUACAAAGCAAAACAAGAUCAUGUAUGGAUCUCAUGGUAAUCCUAUAUUAACUGCAGAAGUGCCAGUGAACCAAAGAAAUAUCAGAACUUGCAGUUCCCACACUGCAGAAGAGUGUCACAGGUUUAGGACUACAUGGCAAGAGGGUUACAUUUGUGAGAGAUACUUGUGUUCUAAACCAAACAGAAGCGGAGAAACUCUGAUGGCGAUGAUAAUAAUAAUAAUGAUACAGUGUUUCUCUGUGUUAAAGGAAAA